UACAGAGGGGGCAAGCGUUGUUCGGAAUUACUGGGCGUAAAGGGCGCGUAGGCGGCCUGCUAAGUCGAACGUGAAAUCCCUGGGCUCAACCCAGGAACUGCGUCCGAUACUGGUUGGCUUGAAUCCGGGAGAGGGAUGUGGAAUUCCAGGUGUAGCGGUGAAAUGCGUAGAUAUCUGGAGGAACACCGGUGGCGAAGGCGACAUCCUGGACCGGUAUUGACGCUGAGGCGCGAAAGCCAGGGGUGCAAACGGG
rnacentral:rRNA from 1 species